rnacentral:lncRNA from 1 species
UUUUUUAGUUUUUAUUUUGGCGUGGAAAGAUGCCUAUCAUUUAGAUUUUAUUUUUCUGAUAAUUCUAGUAUAUAGAAACUCUAUAUUCCGAAUUUAUUUAGUUUCCCUUUUAUCGUUUACUUUCCAGUUUUUGAAAAUAGGAAAGAAAUCGCAAUUUAUUGGAAACUUUGCCCUGGCCCAUGAAAUCCUUUCCAAAUCUGGCCCAAUAAGACCUUCUUCUUCCUCACGUACUCCCUCUCUCCGAGGAACUUCCAUAGCAAUGGAGACAAAGAACCUCCACCUUCCCG